CGUAGGUGCGCAUAGAUAAUAAGAUAUUUUACAUUUCAGUUCUGAAUGACAACUUAGUUUGUUGAAACUUGUAAGUAUGUAAUUUAAUAGGAUUUUAAGAAAGGAUUUAAAUCUGUUAGUAAAUGGUCAAUUAUUUGUUUUAAUUUACCCUUUACUUCAGACGCUCUAGAGUUAACAUUUGAUAGCUAUAUAAGAAUUAAAGUAAAUGUUUAUCAAGUGAAUUUCGUUGAUGAAUUACAAGACGAAUCGUAAAUUUAUAGUUUUAUAAACUCGCAAGGUGUGAUCUCAGAUGUCCCAAAUCUUUUUACUCGUAUAGACCUAAAAUAAGACUUAAUAUUGAAAAUUGAUUUUUUUUUAUAUUAACGUGUAUUACGUGUGUUACAUACUCGAUGUUUAUCAGAUUUCCAUCUUGCCAUUAAAUAAUUUCCGUUAGAUGAUAUUGACAACCUCGAUGAUAAUGAAAUCCUGACUUAAAGUAAUAUGAAGUAAUAUGAAACCUUAAAUUAAAAGAAAAUAUGCAUAUAUGUUUUUUUUAUAACAACAUGGAUAGUUGUCAUUAUUGAACUUAUGUACAUAUACUUUUUCUGAAGAUAAUUCUUUAGCUUGUCCACAUUUAGAAGAAGUUGACUAUUUUUAAUUGCUUGCUUCCAGGAAGCAAUUCGCCGACAUAUUUUCCGUAUGCAAAUGUUCUUAGCGUAACCCUUUUCAUAAAAAUCCGGUAAUCGCAAUACGCACGGAUCUGUCAAUGAAAUGAACUAUUAUCUGAUUGUACAUGUUAAACACCUGCUAAAUAUCCUUGCUUCUUUAUUGAUUGUUUACUAUAAGGUGACAAUCGGUAAAUUACGGCUUCAAAACACGACAAAUAAUGAGCUUUCAUAUAUUCACAUCAUAACAGACAGAGAGAAAAAAAUGACGACUAUACGAUAUGUUAAAAUCAAGCACAGAAGACUAAGUUUAUGAUAAAUACAUGCAUUGGUUCAAGAAUUGGAUAAGCAUUAUUUUUCAACAGUCACUUGUUUCAUAUGACUUUAAAGUCCACAUCUGUAAUUUCAUCAACUGAGAAACUACCCUUUGAUUUUUUAACAAUGUUACUUUUUAAUGAAUUUGGUAUUGAUGACAUUAUGUUUGGUGACGAGGGCGAUAAGGGGGUGGUUUUUUUUCUCACUUGAUAACCACUUAAUUCCACAUCACAAAGAACGUUUUAUUCCCCCUUGGUAGCCUAUUUUGAGUUUGUUCACAAUAUUUCCAGAUUAGGACGAUUUAUUCUAGACCCUAAACUUUGUUUUGAUAUCAGUCUAUACUUGGAGUCUAUAUGUCCGAACAUGGAUGUAUACAUUUUUUGUCUGUUUUAUGCUUGUCCUGUCAUUUACCCAUUCACUAGAUGGUAUUCUUAAAAGCUGAAUUGGGAAUGUACCCUAUUGUUACACAGACCCUUAAGUCUUCUGUGGGAUCUGGUUAUAUAUUUUAAAUUCAAAUGAAAUUGAUUUUUUAUUAUAUAAUGUUUAUAAAGUUAACAAGCAGUUUAAUGAUGGAUUUGCUUCAAAAAUUAAAAUGCUACUUUAUAAAUUGAAUUUCACUCAUGGUUUUGAAAAUCCAGAUACCUUUUCUAUAAAAAAAAAAACCAUUACUGUCAGCCCUCGUGAAGAAGCUCAAUGCAAAUUACAUUAUAUUUUGGAAAAAAAUGUCCCUUUAAUGAUGAUAAUUCAAUAAAUGGAAAUAGAUUAAGAACCUACAGAAAAUUUAAAGUAAAAUAUGAAUUGAAAAGUACCUUUUAUUGAAUUUAUAAAAAAUAGAUAAAAAUGUUACAAAAAAUAUAUUUAGAUAAGAAUAAGUAAAAGUAUGCUAGCUGUUGAACGCGGUAGAUACAACAAAACAGCCGUGAAAAAUAGAAUAUGUGCAUCCAUAAAGAGGUGGAAAAUGAGUUCCAUUUUAUCAUAACAUGUAUAAUAUUAAUAAAACUAGCAAAAUGUUUAAUGGAAUUUCUAGUAUUGUUCCUAGUUUAAAUGCAAUGAGUAAAGAAAAAAAAAAAGAUUUUAUAUUUUCUUUUGAAGAAUGUGAUAUUUUACUUAUCAUAGGUUAACAAUAUAAGUGAAAUGUAUAAUGAGAAAAACAAUAAUAAUGACAAAAUAUGAACUGUGUGUGAUUGGUGACUUAAAUUAUUAUGAUGUUAUAUAUAAUCAUAAUAUGGGAGUUGAUAAUGUAUUAAGGAGGCAAAAAUAGUAUUAUAAUUAUUAUUAACAAUGUUUCUUUCUUUUCCAAUGCUAUAUGUUUGUAUUGUUUAAUAUCAAUUGUUUUGUCAUUACCAUGUCUGUCUGUUUGUCUGUUUGUCUACUUGUUUCUAGAUUUAAAAAAAAAGUAGUAUGAUUGCCAAUGAUACAACUAUCCAAUGAUCCAAACGGACAAAUAUAUUUACAUGGAGAAUUUAACACAAGCGUAACUCAUACCUCAUCUAUAAAAUGCACAGGAAGACAAAUAUGAAACAAUUCAUACGAUAUAAACAACUGAUUUAUGCUCAACACUAUAAACGACAAGUGCAAUCAUGACAGACUGUAACCAACAACAACAUGAAAAUAUAGGCAUAUAUAGGCAUUUAUAUGCAAAAACUACAAAUAAUCACUACCCUUAUUUUUUUAAUUUAGACACAUCCAAUUAACAAAGAAAAUUAAAAUUUUCUCAAAUAAUUCAUUUGUCUUUCCUCUUGUUUGUUUCUUUGUUUUGGCUCUGUGUGGUUAUAUAUUUGUAAAAUUUUCAAUUUGUAUUUUUGGCUGAUAAAUAAUCAUAUUGUAGAAGAAUGAAAAGGAAUGUCAAGCUUAAACAAUAUUUAUAGUUCGUUGUUAGAGGAUAAACCAUACAAAAACGUUGAACUGAUACACACUUGAUCAUUUGACUAAGUCUCCUUAUUGUUUAACGCAUGUAUUGUUGCAAAAAAAUAGAUAACCUAACACCACGUCAGCAGUACAGGAAAGGUUCCUAAAAAAUUUCAGGGGGUGUCACCAAAACGAGCUUCAAAAGUAAAAAAAAAAAUCCCAAUUUAGGUCAUGACUGUAGUAAGAAAGUAAAUGGUAACACAUGGUCUUUACAAUUAAAUCUAAUUUAAUUUGUUUGUGAUGUAUGCGAACCAAAGUGAUUACCAUCACAUCACGGUCUAAAUAUAUAUAUUACCGCACGUGCAUCAGCGUAAUCAAUAAAGAUUUAUACAUUUAACAAUCAAUUAACGAUUUAAUUUUUUUUAUAACGCCAGAGUCUCGUUUUUGAUAUCCAUCUUCGAGAAAUCAAGUGCCAUGACAAGCAGAGUCCUUUUAGAUUCGUUGCGGAACGACUUUCAUAUCAUACACCUACUUUACGUAAUAAGCAAAGAACACAAGUAAGGGGGUAAGAAUGAGAGACUUGACGAAAAAUAAAAGAAAUUAUUUGUGUAAAGUGCGGAUAAAGAAUUAAGAUUGCUAGUUUUAUCAGAGCAAAUGAAAAUCAUUUUGAUAUAGCCAUCAAAGUAGCAAAAUAUUCAUUUUCCAAGAAAUUUGCCAAUUAUGCUAAAAAUUCAAAUGUAUAAAUACAUUUAAUUGAAUCAUCGUUUAAAAUUUGGAAUGUUCUCUUCAUUUUCACACCUCUACAUCAAAGGAACAGAAUUUGUACUUACUAGUACAUCUGUUAUAAAUUGUUGGUGAUUACAUAUAACCCAAGCACUAAACAUUUAUUAAGAGGUACGUUGUAUUUGCCUUAAAGCUAUUGUAUUUAGAACACAAUGAUAAGUUUAUCUUUUUGUCAAUCUCAGAGGUGUACCGCGUGCACCCAAGACACACCUCUCCUUAAAUCCGCCUCUGCAAUCGAAAGAAUGUAAGUGGUUUUUCGUUUCAUCAAUAUGCAUAUUAAAACAAUAUUACCGUAGCUUUAUUUGUUUUUUUUUCAGUUUAAAAAAGUUCCAGAAACAUGGCCCGUCAAAUGUUUAUAUGCAUUAUGAUUUCCUGUUUGAUGAUUGUGUCCCUUGGGUGUAGUGCUGGGAACAGUUAUGUACCGUGUUUGUGUGCAUGUGAAGAUACGUAUACCAGGUGUAAGGCCGAUUGUGUUAUUAAACACGUCGGAAUGAACGUAGUUACUUGUUACAGACUUUGUGGAUCUGUUCUAAUUAGUUGUAACAGAAAUUGUUUUUAGCUUCUAAUAAUAAAAGAAGAUAAUGAUAGUUUAAACGUAGAGGCAUAUAUUUGUUUCUUGCAUUAGAACUUUAACUUAGUUCGUCAUUAUAUAUUACCCCUAAUAUUUGUAAUACGCUUCGCAUAUUUUUAUAGAAAGAAAAACAAUAAAAA
rnacentral:lncRNA from 1 species